AUUGCAGAAAUUAUUAGAAACGCGGAGCCGUCGGCGGCGGCUCCUACCGUGAAGGGAGAAAGCCAAAGCGGCACGAGGCGGCCAUCGGCCGACCGUUACUACUGAGUAGCGGCGAAGCUGAGUACAUACAGAUGAGAUUGAAGCGGGAGGAUUGCGAUCUCACGAAGCACGACUUCAUUUUCUCCAAAUGGGAGAUUCUCAUUGGGCCAAAUGAUUGGAAGGAUCAUGCUUCCGGCAAAGAUGGAGUUGAAAGAUAUAGGAUUCAUAAUCUUCCAGCAGCCUCUUCAUGUACUGGUCUUUAUGAGCUUGGUGUAGCUUCCAUUCCCACCACUGAAGGCCACAGACUGCGGAAGCUUGAUUGGGAGAACGUUAUAGUUGUUUACCUUGGACAAGCUGAUAAUGUUAGAACAAGACUCCAAGAAUAUGGACGUUCAGGAUCCCAUUUGGACCAUGGAAAUCUUAUUACUCAUCGCAAAAAUUCUGAAAGCUCUUCUGCAGUAGGACUUGGACUAUUCAAAGACAUCUUCUCAAAAGGCUACUCAAUUAUGUUUAGAUGGGCUCCAAUAAAAAGCAAGAUGGAAGCUGAGAAGAUCGAGAUUCAACUGCUCCGAAUUUUUGAUUAUGCAUGGAAUAGAAAAGGAAAUGGUAUGUGCCGCCAUGCUGAAAUUCUUGCAAUGUUAGUUCAAAAUUCACCGAAUUCAGGCCACAGCCCUCUGAGAAGGCUUUUGCAGUGGAAACAGAAAACAUUCAGUAAGAGAGAGGGCAUAAACAUUGAUUCAGUUGUUCCGUUUUCUGAAAAGUUAGCACCAUCUCCUGGGCUCAAAGGCUUUUUACUUCCUGGAAUCCUCAAGUUUUCUUCUUCCCAGCUCCAAUUCCUUCCACAAGAUAUCAACUCUGUAAAUGAUCAAAUUAUCUGUGGUAUAGCCACUGGUCAUGGGCUUAUUUGCAUAAAGCAGCCACUGCCCGGGAGAAAAAGGUGUGCUGAACACAAAGGAAGGAAAAUUACAGCCAGUGGUUCAGCUUCAGGAAGAAUGACUUCUUCCUGUGACAUUUUCCUAGAAGAUGGAACAAAGGGAUGUGAGUUUAGCGAUGGAAGAAGAGUCACUAUACCUCUUUUAGAUGAAGUUGUUUCACCGUCUCAGCAAUACCAGUCACAAUUAGCCCAAGAAAAGUUUCACCAUGACAAAGAGGAGAAUGUUAUUUGUGGAGUGGUCUGUGGUGAUGGUUGUGUGUGUAAAAGAAGGCCAGUUUUAGGGAGGAAAAGAUGUGAAAGUCACAAAGGACAGAGAGUUCUUGCAGCCGUGCCAUCUGUUGACAAAAUAUUGAACUCUCUACCGUUGAACAACUUCUGUGGAGUGAUCAAUGGUAAUGGCUAUGCCUGUAGUAGGCCGCCGGUUCCUGGAAGGAAGAGGUGUGAGGAGCACAAAGGAAGAAGGAUUGUGUCAGCUGGUAACAUCAAUGUAUCAAGAGCUGAAUAAAGCUUUCCAGUUUGUAGUGCUACUUCAAUCGCCCUCCAGAAAGGAAGAGAUACGAGGCAGUAAGCUCAAUGCGCCUGCUCAAUAAGCUAAAGCAACAGCAGAAAUAGAUUGGUUAUUAGGCCGGUCUUUAAUAUUGUUGUUAUUAUUAUUAGUGUGUUAUUUGUUACGACCAAAUGAAUUUGAAUUGAAUUACUUUAUUCUUAGGCUUGCUUGCUUUGUUUAAAAAACUAAUGCAAUGUAAAAAUAUUAUCUAUUUUGUAGGGGAAAAUAAAAAUAAUGUACUGUAUUUGAAUUA